rnacentral:rRNA from 1 species
GCCUGGGAUGAUCUAAGCCAUGCGAGUCUUGUAGCAAUACAAGGCAUACGGCUCAGUAACGCGUAGUCAACCUGCCCUAUGGACGGGAAUAACCUCGGGAAACUGAGAAUAAUGCCCGAUAGAACAUUAUAUCUGGAAUGGUUUAUGUUCCAAAUGAUUUAUCGCCGUAGGAUGGGACUGCGGCCUAUCAGUUUGUUGGUGAGGUAAUGGCCCGCCAAGACUAUUACAGGUACGGGCUCUGAGAGGAGUAGCCCGGAGAUGGGUACUGAGACACGGACCCAGGCCCUAUGGGGCGCAGCAGGCGAGAAAACUUUGCAAUGUGCGAAAGCACGACAAGGUUAAUCCGAGUGGUUUGUGCUAAACGAACCUUUUGUCAGUCCUAGAAACACUAACGAAUAAGGGGUGGGCAAGUUCUGGUGUCAGCCGCCGCGGUAAAACCAGCACCUCAAGUGGUCAGGAUGAUUAUUGGGCCUAAAGCAUCCGUAGCCGGCUCUGUAAGUUUUCGGUUAAAUCUGUACGCUCAACGUACAGGCUGCCGGGAAUACUGCAGAGCUAGGGAGUGGGAGAGGUAGACGGUACUCGAUAGGAAGGGGUAAAAUCCUUUGAUCUAUUGAUGACCACCUGUGGCGAAGGCGGUCUACCAGAACACGUCCGACGGUGAGGGAUGAAAGCUGGGGGAGCAAACCGGAUUAGAUACCCGGGUAGUCCCAGCUGUAAACUAUGCAAACUCAGUGAUGCAUUGGCUUGUGGCCAAUGCAGUGCUGCAGGGAAGCCGUUAAGUUUGCCGCCUGGGAAGUACGUACGCAAGUAUGAAACUUAAAGGAAUUGGCGGGGGAGCACCACAAGGGGUGAAGCCUGCGGUUCAAUUGGAUUCAACGCCGGG